AAAAACUACAAAUUGCAGGCUUUGGCGAAAUCAACGGUUACAUUUCACUAAUUAAAAACGUCCCAUUCCAAUUUUAUUUCCACUGCACAUGAAUGUGAUACAAAUAUAAAAAGCAAGGAAGCCACUAGGCCUCACGUUUCCACAGCUUCCACAUCAAUUUCCAGCCAUUAUUACACAGAUUACUUUACCUGCGACAUUCACAUUUUUAUUUGACAAUUCCACAACUGCCUUAGAAACUUGCUCUUUUCAACGACGUAAUCGUGAUGGAAGACCCCAACGCCGAUGACCCAACUUCGAUUUCAAACGAGUCGUAUCGUCGAAACAAUUCAACGACGAACAGUCUAGAUAUAAAUACCACGAAAUCUUUGCCCGCACACUGUUUGUUUCCCACCGUUGGAUGCUCAGUCUCUGGUCCAUUUGACCACAGCACGUGUUUCAACAACUUUUCUCCCUCGCCUACGAACCGAUCUGGAACGUACUCUUCGGGUCUGUCGAAUAUUUUCGGAUCUUUCGUCGCGAAAGGUUGGUACCCGAAUAUCAUCUGGCCUUCUUUUACUUCAAACGCUGCGUCGUGACUUUCAAUGAUCAAGUCACGCUUUGCUCUCCCGUACUGCGCUGGUACUGGAGGUUCGAUACGGAAUGCUUCAUAGACCGCGGAUUUCAUCAGUGGCAUCUGUUCUAGAGCAGCCAUCGUGAUCUGCCCACCAUUGGAUUUUAUGACUGAUCUAAUCUCUUGUGCCAGCUGGGUAUGGAGUUUGACUCCUGCACGGCCGAUCCACUUGAGUACGUUUGGGAAGAAGAUCUUAAGGCCACCGAAGGUAUUAAAGCACGUAGCGAAAAGGAUAUUGUGGCAGGCUUCUUCUCGCGUGAGCCCCAUUCUCUCAGCCUCAUCGAGGACGGAUCCGCCGGAGGAGUAGAAGUAAUCGUAGAGUCGCUGGUAAUCUUUCUUGAUGAUAAACGCAGGGAGACGAAAGGUGUGGAUUGUGGGUUCUUCAAUAAAUGCCGGAAGGCCAAGUGUGAGAAUAGGAGCGAGUUGAAACAGUACCCAUUUAGCUAUCAGAGUAGGUCCAUCAGUCCCCACUUUAGUGUCGACGGGGUUUACGCCAAAGUAACACCGACCCAAGAAGCUAAAGGCAGCUUGUUCGCCGGGAUCAUUGAAACUGACUUUGCCCUUGGACGCGAGAUCCUUCUCCAGACUCUCAAACAGUUGGCUAUAAGUCGAACUGAACUCAGGGAUUACGUAAUCGCGGCGAGAUUUCAAAAGAUAGAACAAGAGUUGCUUGAGUUGGCCGUGUUUCGUCUCAGAAGGGUCAAGAUAUGAGAGAAUACGGUAGCCGCCGGUUAGGUCUGUGGAGGGCAUGUAAGUACCAGUAAAAAGGUCUUUCUUUUCGACUUUGGUUACAUCGAAAAGAACAGAAAAGCUCUUCCCAUCAAGCACGACGACCACGCGUGGAUCAGGAGAGAUGAAAGGACCAGGUGGCAUGUUGGCUUUGUACACCGUUGACCGGUACUUUUGAGCUCUGGAUUUGAAGUACUCCUCUUUGCCUUGCUUGUAGAAAUAAUCAAGUCGAUCUUUGAUGGGGCCAAUCAAAGGGAGACCAUAAUCACCGGGAAUUUUGCGAAGGGGAAGUUUGGAAGAUUCAGUUGGCGAAACAGUCUCCGGUAAGUUAGAAAUGGUUGGUUUUUCAGACACAGAAGCUGUGAUUGGGUUGAAAAAGGAUCGUCGAGUGGAGGGCUUAGAUGAUUUUCUCAAGGACUUGAAUUGCGAUUGGAGGCAAGGAGAAGAAAAGGCUGAGGAAGCCAUGUUGGUCGUGAAAUAGUAGCCUUAAGAUCCUAUGUUGCUCGAAGAUUUUUAAGGCACUUGGCAGAGUUGUUAUAAGGAGAAAAUGUAGAAAAUCGGAGACUCUGGUAUACAAGCGGACGGUCAGGGUCUAUGUUAUUUAUAGUGGUGGGGGGCACAGCCCUUAGAAAAGCAUGUUAUUGUCUGGUGAAAGAUCGUGAAA
rnacentral:misc_RNA from 1 species